GGGGAGAUGGCUCAGUGGUUAAGAGCACUUAUUGUUCUUGCAGAGGACCUGGGUUCAAGUCCCAGUACCCACA
rnacentral:tRNA from 1 species